GGGCCCGUAGCUCAGCUUGGACAGUUUGGAUUAGCAAGGGCUAUUCUGAGUCUCAAGCGACGCUCUCCUAAGGCGAAGGCCAGGGGUUCAAAUCCCCUCGGGCCCG
rnacentral:tRNA from 1 species